rnacentral:rRNA from 1 species
UGGGUAACCUGCCUCAAAGAGGGGAAUAGCCUCCCGAAAAGGGAGACUAAUACCGCAUAAUAUGUUUAGGUCGCAUGACUUUAACAUCAAAGGAUUUUCUUUUAAGAAAUUCCACUUUGAGAUGGACCCGCGGUGCAUUAGCUAGUUGGUGAGGUAACGGCUCACCAAGGCAACGAUGCGUAGCCGACCUGAGAGGGUGAUCGGCCACAUUGGAACUGAGACACGGUCCAGACCUCCGUAGGGAGG